rnacentral:rRNA from 1 species
ACGGGGUGCAGCAGGCGCGAAAACUUUACAAUGCCGGCAACGGCGAUAAGGGGACCUCGAGUGCCAGGUUACAAAUCUGGCUGUCGUAAUGCCUAAAAAGCAUUUCAUAGCAAGGGCCGGGCAAGACCGGUGCCAGCCGCCGCGGUAACACCGGCGGCUCGAGUGGUAACCGUUAUUAUUGGGUCUAAAGGGUCUGUAGCCGGCCGGAUAAGUCUCUUGAGAAAUCUGGCAGCUUAACUGUCAGGCUAUCAGGGGAUACUGUCUGGCUCGAGGCCGGGAGAGGUGAGAGGUACUUCAGGGGUAGGGGUGAAAUCUUGUAAUCCUUGAAGGACCACCAGUGGCGAAGGCGUCUCACCAGAACGGACCUGACGGCAAGGGACGAAAGCUAGGGGCACGAACCGGAUUAGAUACCCGGGUAGUCCUAGCCGUAAACGAUACUCGCUAGGUGUCGGCCACGGUGCGACCGUGGUCGGUGCCGUAGGGAAGCCGUAAAGCGAGCCACCUGGGAAGUACGGCCGCAAGACUGAAACUUAAAGGAAUUGGCGGGGGAGCAC